CACUCACACAUCGAAUCAGUAGCACAGUUUGCUGUUCUGCUUGUUCAUCUGACGGACAUGUAAAAGGCGACUGCUCUCUCGUUUCUGUGGAUGUCCAGCGUGAGACACAACUUGAAUCCAACCAGACUGAACACUGACUCCAGGGACAGACGAGCCUGAAGGACACAGCUGUGAUGACCAUGUUCUGUCUCUUAUGACAAAGCAGAAAUAUAAAACACUGGGUUCUUAUCUAAAGUGUAUCAAAUCAGAUCUCCACCAUGUUGCUGCUGAGGACAUCAGGUGCUGCAGUUCUUCAUCUAUGAAGAUGAAAAAACUCACUGUUAAAGAAUGUUUUGUGUUGUGUAUGAAGCACAACAGAUUUCAGAUAGAACCGUUGUACUGUGGUCUUGGUUUGUAUCCUCAUGGUUAAAUGUACAUAUUUUACGUCCCUUCUGAUAAAAGUACUGAAAGAAAUACAACAUUGUAUAAAUAGAUAAAAUGUCUUUCUACCUCAUCAGUAAUAUUCAAGGUGAUAAUCUCCCACAGAGCUAUUGAUAGAAGUCCACAUCAAGUCUCUCGACUUCUCUCAGUGUGAAAACAUAAUUAUAUCAUUAAUUUGAGAACUGUUUACAACACUGAUGUUUGGAGAUUAAAAUCAUAUCUAAACUGUCUAAUUCACUGUAAAACUCCAUGACAUUCGCAGGCCAUCUGUACUUAAAAGACGAACCUGGAUUGAUCUGUCCAAAAAUCCAAAAGUCUCCCUACCCUCUCUAGUGCCCCUGAGCAAGGCACCUCACUCCCCAAACAUCUGCUCCCCGAGCGCCGUACAUGGUCGCUGACUGCUCUGUGUGUCCUGCACCAGAUGUUGUCUUCCAGUUGACCAGCAUGACGCUGCAGAUCUCCACCAUGUUGCUGCUGAGGACAUCAGGAGCUGCAUUAAUGAGGAGCAGAAGCGCACUGUUAUGAAUGUUUUGUGUUGUGUAUGAAGCACCACAUAUUUCAGAUAGAACCAAUGUACUGGGGUCUGGGUUUGUAUCCUAAUGGUUAAAUGCACAUACUUUAAAUCGCUUUUGAUAAAACGUGAGAAAGAAAUACAACAUUAUACACAUAGAUAAAAUGUCUUUCUACCUCAUCUGUAAUAUUCAAGGUGAUGAUCUCCCACAGAGCUGUUGAUAACAGUCCACAUCAAGUCUCUCCACUUCCCUCAGUGUGAAAACAUAAUUAUAUAAUUAACUGGAGAAGUGUUUACAACACUGAUGUGUGGACAUUAUAAUCUUAUCUAUACUGUCUAAUUGACUCUACAACUCCAUGACAGACUAAAUUAACAAUGUGAAAAUAGUAAUGGUGGAUAUAUCAGCCUGUAUCAGAAUAAUGGUGAAACAGUUAUUAUCACAUGCAACGUACACGUGUAGCGUAUUGAUAGUCACUUAUUAAAAAAAUAAAUAAAGUCACAACCAAAACAAGACUGUGGAGUUAACUUGCUUCAAUCUGUUCAUUAGACGUGAUAAAUAAACGGUAACUUUUAUAACAAUUACAUAUUACACAAAACUUGAGGCAUGUAAGCAUAUGAUGAUAGAUAAAGCAAUAGGUUAUGUUGUAUAGUUUGAAGGUUACUUACCUCUAGUUCAGCACCAGCGGCUGGCUACAGGAAGUGGAGCAAUCAUCCUUGCCGCAGAGCGCAAACGCAUGCAAUGCGGAGACUAGCGCUUGGUCAUCGAACGUUCUCUCUUCAUCGACCGCAACAGACUAGAAAUUGCCUGUGCUCGGGCCCGUUAGUGC